UGCAUUGAAAAUAAACUGAAAAAGAAAAGUGAAGUGUGAAGGUGAUUUUCUAUUGCUGCAUAUAUAUAGAGUCCUGGCAUUUAUUGCACAUAGAACCCGAAGCGGACGCAUCGUGAACUGAAGAAUUUAUUGCUUUGACCAAUUCAAGUUAGAUAGAGGGGAAAGAUCAAGAGUGAGAGAGAUCGGGAAAUAAGAGGGGACUCGAUGCAAGAGAUAGAGAUCUGAAUAAUGACCCUAAAAGGGGAUGGUCAUAAUAGGAAGAUCGGAAGAAACAGGAGACAACCUAUAAAGAUCGGAGUACGUAGAGGGGUUAAACAACUUCCGGUCAGAA
rnacentral:misc_RNA from 1 species